rnacentral:rRNA from 1 species
AACGAACGCUGGCGGCAUGCCUAACACAUGCAAGUCGAACGAGACCUUCGGGUCUAGUGGCGCACGGGUGCGUAACGCGUGGGAACCUGCCCUUAGGUUCGGAAUAACUCCCCGAAAGGGGUGCUAAUACCGGAUAAUGUCUUCGGACCAAAGAUUUAUCGCCUUUGGAUGGGCCCGCGUUGGAUUAGCUAGUUGGUAGGGUGAAAGCCUACCAAGGCGACGAUCCAUAGCUGGUCUGAGAGGAUGAUCAGCCACACUGGGACUGAGACACGGCCCAGACUCCUACGGGAGGCAGCAGUGGGGAAUAUUGGACAAUGGGCGAAAGCCUGAUCCAGCAAUGCCGCGUGAGUGAUGAAGGCCUUAGGGUUGUAAAGCUCUUUUACCCGGGAUGAUAAUGACAGUACCGGGAGAAUAAGCUCCGGCUAACUCCGUG